rnacentral:miRNA from 1 species
AGAGAGUUAGGGUGAGGGGCAGCUUUCGGGUCCGAACCCGACGCUACUCCCGCAGCCUCGUUAUCU